AGUCAGUUCAUUGAUCUAUGUAAAUUAGAGUGCUCCCAUUGUUAAACGUGUUCGAGUAUCUUGGAAGUUGAAUGUUGGUUGGUAUAUGUACGAGGCAUUUUUGUCUUAAAAGACAGAGUUGAUUUUUAUUUCAAACAAAAUCUCAUUUUCUGCAUUUUUUUUUCUACGUCUUCUUGAUUUCAAUAAGACAAAUUUCUUUCAUUUUUUAGCAUGUAAAAAGUUAGUUAUUAGAAUAUAAUUCUUCACAUAGUUUACCAGCAAUCUAAAGAUGAUAAAUUUUGUAUCCUGGUCUAUAUUAGUUUAUGCGCAUAUUCUGUUUUAUAGCCCUUGUUUGAGCCCAAUUUUGAGGGGAAAAAUAAAUUUUGGAAUAGUGUAUUGAUGAGAAUUGUGUGGUUAAAAAAUAAGGAAAGUUUUAGAUUUACGUGUAAUAUUAUUUUAUUGAAGAAUGUGGUUGAAAUAAUGUUAAAACAUUGUAGAAGAAUUCAUUUUUUUCCAAAGAAUGGGGAUCAAACAAAGGCAUAUAGAAUUCAUGAACUUGUUAAAUUCAUCUUAGGUGGAAUAAGUUUUGUGAUUCUUUAUUAGGUUCGACACUAGAUUUGAAAAAAGAAAAAAAGAAAAAAAAUUUAGUACUAGCAUACACGUUUUAAUUUGUCUACUAAAUGCAUGUGUGAUUACUAGAUAUUUGAAUCUUAAUAAUCAUUGCUUUAAUAAUUUAAUAUUCUAAAACAUGAACAAAGGUAUCAUGUUCUAAAUCCAUGUAAUUGGAGAUGGAACAAUGUGGUUCAAAUACACGAAACUUAUAAGAGAGGGGAAAAGAAAUGCUACACAAUGCCCCCGUUUGGCCCCCAUUAAUUUCAUUCCAUUAUAUUUUAUUUUUCUCUCUCCUAUUUUUAACCACAUAAUCUUUUAAAAAAUAAUAUUCUACGUAAAACGAAAAUUUUUCCUUCUUUUUCUACCACUCAUUUUUCAAAAAUACACCAUUCCAACCAUUUUCAUCUCCAAAAAAUGGGGGCCAAACAUGGA
rnacentral:lncRNA from 1 species